GAAAAUUGAUGAGCAUCCGCUCUCAAACACACUGUGUGCACUGUUUGCUGUCUCUGGCAGGACCAGAGGUAUCUGGUGGGUCCCUCGGGAUCCGUCAGCUGCCUCCCCUGCCGCAGGAGUGUCCCCUUGCGGGGACGCUUCCUAUUGAACAACACCAUGUCGUAAAUGUUUGUCUGAUCUUUUCUUCACCAUGUGUGAGAAAUCAUAAA
rnacentral:misc_RNA from 1 species